UACGUAGGGGCCUAGCGUUGUUCGGAAUUACUGGGCGUAAAGGGCUCGUAGGCGGCCAACUAAGUCAGACGUGAAAUCCCUCGGCUUAACCGGGGAACUGCGUCUGAUACUGGAUGGCUUGAAUCCGGGAGAGGGAUGCGGAAUUCCUGGUGUAGCGGUGAAAUGCGCAGAUAUCAGGAGGAACACCAAUUGCGAAGGCAGCUCGCUGGGACGUAACUGACGCUGAGACGCGAAAGCGUGGGGAGCAAACAGG
rnacentral:rRNA from 1 species